rnacentral:rRNA from 1 species
UACGUAGGUCCCGAGCGUUGUCCGGAUUUAUUGGGCGUAGAGCGAGCGCAGGUGGUUUAUUAAGUCUGGUGUAAAAGGCAAUGGCUCAACCAUUGUAUGCAUUGGAAACUGGUAGACUUGAGUGCAGGAGAGGAGAGUGGAAUUCCAUGUGUAGCGGUGAAAUGCGUAGAUAUAUGGAGGAACACCGGUGGCGAAAGCGGCUCUCUGGCCUGUAACUGACACUGAGGCUCGAAAGCGUGGGGAGCAAACAGG